rnacentral:lncRNA from 1 species
GUCAGAGGAUAGGAGGAUGAGCAGUCUCCAUCUCAGUUCAGCACGGAGGUGUAUGCAGUUCUUCCAUCCCUCAGGCUCCUGUGGGGUGGCCUCUUUCCUAACACUCUGGUGUUCACAGGGCUCUGGUAACGUUCCUGCUUCCCUGGCCCCUUCAGGUGUAGAGAGGCUAAUGCCUUCUCACUGCUGCUAGUCACCAAGUACCUCCACAGCCUCAGUGGGUUCCCUUCAUUCUUGUGCAUUCUUUGUAGUUCUUCCCAUCAAGAAGUAGAAUCUACUUACCCUGUUCCUACCCCCACGCCCCCGAAUCUGGACUGGCUUUAUAAGUUGUUUUGACUAAUAGAAAAGCGGAAGAACUGAUGUUGCAAGACCUCAAGAACCUUUCAUCCUCUCUUCUCACUCUUGUGGUGCCCUGAAACAACCAAGCUGUAAAGCAGCCCAGGGUAACAGACCACGUAGAGAGAGUGCCAGCAUCUCAGCCACACCUGGCCCCUAACAGGCCAUCAGCCUAACGCAGCUGCUUGAGAAACCCAGGUGAGACCUGUCGAAGAACCAGCCAGGCAACCCACAGAAAAAUAGUGCACAACACGGGCCAAUGAACACAGAAUUCUGGUGGACCUACUAUGCCUGGGAUUUCAGUGAGACUCAAAGUGAGUGCAAGGUAAGUGUGUUACUAACGUGAUCGAGUUAGCAGGAGUGCCGAUAGCCCCAAGAAGCCAAGCUUUCUGUUAGAAC